GAUGAACGCUAGCUAUAGGCUUAACACAUGCAAGUCGAGGGGUAACAAGGAGAGAGCUUGCUCUUUCUGUUGACGACCGGCGCACGGGUGAGUAACACGUAUCCAACCUACCGUAUACACUGGGAUAGCUCUUCGAAAGAAGGAUUAAUACUAGAUGUUAAGAUGUUCUCGCCUGGGAAUAUCUUCAAAGAUUUAUCGGUAUACGAUGGGGAUGCGUUCCAUUAGACAGUUGGUGAGGUAACGGCUCACCAAAUCGACGAUGGAUAGGGGUUCUGAGAGGAAGAUCCCCCACAUUGGAACUGAGACACGGUCCAAACUCCUACGGGAGGCAGCAGUGGGGAAUUUUGCACAAUGGGCGAAAGCCUGAUGCAGCGACGCCGCGUGAGUGAAGACGUACUUCGGUAUGUAAAGCUCUAUCAGCAGGG
rnacentral:rRNA from 1 species